CCUACGGGGGGCAGCAGUGAGGAAUAUUGGUCAAUGGGCGAGAGCCUGACCCAGCCAAGUCGCGUGAGGGAGUACUGCCCUAUGGGUUGUAAACCUCUUUUGUCGGGGAGCAAAAGCCGGACGUGUCCGGCUGUGAGAGUAACCGAAGAAAAUGCAUCAGCUAACUCCGUGCCCGAAGCAGCGGUAAUACGGAGGAGGCGGGCGUUAGCCGGAUUUAUGGGGUUUAAAGGGGGCGCAGGCGGAUUUUUAUGUCUGCGGUAAAAUCGUGGGGCCAAACCCCAUCCAGCCGUUGAAACUGGGGAUCUAGAGUGUGCGAGAGGUAUGCGGAAUGCGUGGUGUAGCGGUGAAAUGCAUAGAUAUCACGCAGAACCCCGAUGGCGAAGGCAGCAUACCGGUGCACAACUGACGCUCAGGCACGAAAGCGUGGGUAUCGAACAGGAUUAGAUACCCUUGUAGUC
rnacentral:rRNA from 1 species